rfam:Triticum aestivum genome assembly, contig: Triticum_aestivum_CS42_TGACv1_scaffold_579787_7BL
AUCGUACUCCCUCCGUCCGGACAUACUUAUCAUCAAAAUGAAAAAAAGUGGAUGUAUCUAGAUGUAUUUUAGUUCUAGAUACAUCAAUUUUUAUCCAUUUUGAUGACAAGUGAGAGAGUACAAU